rnacentral:rRNA from 1 species
AUUGAACGCUGGCGGCAUGCUUUACACAUGCAAGUCGAACGGCAGCGCGGGCUUCGGCCUGGCGGCGAGUGGCGAACGGGUGAGUAAUGCAUCGGAACGUGCCCAGUAGUGGGGGAUAGCCCGGCGAAAGCCGGAUUAAUACCGCAUACGACCUGAGGGUGAAAGCGGGGGACCGAAAGGCCUCGCGCUAUUGGAGCGGCCGAUGUCGGAUUAGCUAGUUGGUGGGGUAAAGGCUUACCAAGGCGACGAUCCGUAGCUGGUCUGAGAGGACGACCAGCCACACUGGGACUGAGACACAGCCCAGACUCCUACGGGAGGCAGCAGUGGGGAAUUUUGGACAAUGGGGGCAACCCUGAUCCAGCCAUGCCGCGUGCGGGAAGAAGGCCUUCGGGUUGUAAACCGCUUUUGUUCGGGAAGAAAUCCUCUGGGCUAAUACCCCGGGGGGAUGACGGUACCGGAAGAAUAAGCACCGGCUAACUACGUG